rnacentral:rRNA from 1 species
UACGUAGGGGGCAAGCGUUGUCCGGAAUCAUUGGGCGUAAAGAGCGCGUAGGCGGUCCGGUAAGUCCGCUCUGAAAGUCCGGGGCUCAACCCCGGGAGGCGGGCGGAUACUGUCGGGCUAGAGUCCGGAAGAGGCGAGUGGAAUUCCUGGUGUAGCGGUGAAAUGCGCAGAUAUCAGGAGGAACACCAGUAGCGAAGGCGGCACUCUGGGCCGGUACUGACGCUGAGGAGCGAAAGCGUGGGGAGCGAACAGG